CACACAUUUUCACAAAACUCAGAAAGUACCCCAAACUUUCUUGCAACCCCACAAAAAGUUAUGUCACUUGAUAGCCCUGAUCUUGGUGACCAACAUAUUAAAAAAAAUUACCCAGAUUGGAUCAGGAGUUUAAGAGUUUCAUGGAGGUCUUAGUUUGACCGACCGCACACGAGGCUCCUGCCCAGAAAAAGUUACUUGAGUUUAGGUUGUACGGUCGGUCUAUUUCGGAAAGUCUGUAAACCGAACAAAUCCACACCCGGUACCCCCUGGCUCAUAGGUAGUGUUUGUUCCCCUAGUUCGUGGCAACAAAACUACCGAAUAGCACUCUCCUGGCUGGUCGGUGAAGGCAAGCAGGCGUUCGCAAAGUUUGACCGGCAUUCGGGAAGUUGAGUGUCCGAUUUUAGACCCGCUGCCUCUUUUCGUGUGAACAAGAUGGCAACCAUUUUCUCCUGCACGUGGCGUUCGAAAAUACGCCACACAGGAAGAGCACUUAAUUCUAUGGUUUCCUUUGAAGUUAAUGAGCCAGGGGGCUGGUCAGUGUUCAGUAGUUUUAUCUAGCGAACAAGAAAAAUCCAGUGCAAUGGAAAAAAAACCGAAGUAGUUGCUUCACACCCAGUGAAAACCGAUCCACUCCAAUGGUAGGGAUGCUGGGUGAAAUAAAAUUGAAUUAAAACACAUAAUUUGUGAGUCUGUCAUGUUUUGUGUGUGUGUGUGUUUGUAGGUAACCAGACCCUCUCCGAUCUUAUGGGAACAGUAUUCAUACUUGCCUUUUUCCCCCACACUGUGCUGGCUCGGCAUCUGUGGCUGAGAUCAAACUUGAUGAUCUCAGCCAAUCCAGUGCUUUCCUAUAGACAAGUAUUGGGAAGUUAUUGCAAAUGUGCUGCAAAACAAUGCACCAAUCAGCAUCUCCUCAUAGAGAUUCAUUGAAUCAAUGUAUCUCUAUGGGGAACGUUGAACGCCUCCAUGUAGUGUAUGGAGAUGCUGAAUGUAGGUAAUGCACACGGAUAGGAAGCACUUCAGUAGCCAACUUUUCUCUGAAAAGGCUAUAGGGACAGGCUACAUUCAAGUGCAGUGAUCCUGGUGACUAUCCC